GUUAAAAUUACAAUUUAUCAUUUUUGUCAUAUUGGCGAUAAACAGUAGACUAUUGACAGACAACAGUGCAUUAUUUGAAACACAGUGUACAAAACCUGUCGAUAGAUCCGGGAGGGAAUAAAUGGAUAGUGUUGUGGCUUGGGGACGCGCAGUAGCGCUUCGAUUUGGUCGGAGAGAGGACCGUUCUCUCCUGGGACAGACUAUGGUUGUAUAAUUUUUAUACGUUUCAUACAUACGUAUAAUACGUGUUUCGUGCAUUACUGUAUUAUACGUUUCAACCUUGAAUUUAUAGUAAAAUCAAUACGCUCUAAGCUUUGCUCAGAAUCUUUUUACAAAAAAAAAAAAAAUUAAUAUUGUAUGUCCUAAAAGUUAUGACGUACGGCAGUUACUUAUUGGAAAUAUUGACGGAAAUUAAUGUUAUUUUCGAAAUUUCAAGUAACAUAUUCUGCAAAUGAAAAUAUAAUAUGUAUUUUUGUCGAAGCUAAAAAAACUAGAGAAAAGUAACAUUGGAAC